GAGUAGAAGACCCAUGCAAGUCUUUAAAGUCUAAUUUCAUUUCUGAUAUAUGGGGUCAAAUAAAACAGCAGCUACACAAGACUUUUUCACAAGGUUCACGUAGCCUUAUCCUUUCAAAUCUUUCUCCGAAUCUCAAUCAUAUAUGUAACACUAGAGCUUGUACAAGUUUUGAGACAGCCACAUAGAAAUAAACAAUGACGAGCAAGACUUUUGCUUCUCCUAUGUUCAUCUUCUUCUGGCUUUUGAUAAUUUCCAUCAUUUUAGUCCAACCCGCUCUCUCUGGACGGACACUUGGCGGCAGCGAUGGAGGCGGUGGAUCCAUAGGUCAUGUGCCAUUGCCAAGGCGUCCAAUGUGCAGCAGUCGGAGUUACGCGCAUUGCUUGCAGCCCGCACCAGGAAGACCGUGUCAUUAUUAUUCCGGUUGCCGUCCCCCACUCCCACCAAAAUAAAGUGGCCAAUAAAAGCGGACUGGACCUGAUUCCCCUACUAAUAAAGUUGGACAGAGAGUGAUCCAACCCUCGUUAAGCCCAGAAAAAAAUGAGCCCAUGCAAUGGAAAUAUAUGUAUGGAUUAGAUGUUUUGGGGAUAUUUUUCAAAAAUUUUAUGAUAGUGUGAAAAACUUUUAAUGUAGAUGGUUAGGUGUUUUGGGAGUGUAUUAUUGUAGUAUUGUAUUUAAAAUCUUUGUUUAUGAAAUAAUGGUAAAUCCGUAUAGACCUACAUUUCAAUUGUUUGUAGAAAAUUAAAUACAUGAAGAGAUUGUGCAU